UACGUAGGGCGCAAGCGUUGUCCGGAAUUAUUGGGCGUAAAGAGCUCGUAGGCGGUUUGUCGCGUCUGCUGUGAAAUCCCGAGGCUCAACCUCGGGCUUGCAGUGGGUACGGGCAGACUAGAGUGCGGUAGGGGAGACUGGAAUUCCUGGUGUAGCGGUGGAAUGCGCAGAUAUCAGGAGGAACACCGAUGGCGAAGGCAGGUCUCUGGGCCGCAACUGACGCUGAGGAGCGAAAGCGUGGGGAGCGAACAGG
rnacentral:rRNA from 1 species